ensembl:snRNA U6 U6 spliceosomal RNA
AGUGCUUGCUUUGGCAUCACAUGCUAAAAUUGGAAUGAUACGGAGAAGAUUAACAUGGCUUCCAUGCAAGAACGACACACAAAUUUGUGAAAUGUUUCAUAUUUGG